CACACACGCCAAUCUCACGCUCACGCCAAUCUCACACACACGCACGCACGCACACACGCACGCACACACGCACAAACACGCACAAACACACACACACACACACACACCUUGUGCACACACACACACACACACACACCUUGUGCACAUCCUUGGGGCAGUUACACCAUCGUCUGACCCAAGUGUUACAGAGGUUACUGUAAACAGAAUACAAUGUACAUCGUGAACAAUGUCACAGUUUCACACUAACCUAGAGGGGGGUCACUAGCUGUAGCAUUAGAUGAUUAAUUCAGUCAAUAUAGAUGCAUUAAAAGGGAACGACAAUUUUGAAUCACAUACAAUGAAUGUAUGAUGUAAUCUAUUUUGGUGUUUACUCUAACUCACUUGUCCGCAGAAAUUCUUGUUGUACACACUGUUAGAGUCGUUGUAACAACAGCCUGGCUUACUUACUAGUAGCCAACAGAGGCACAGCCCCAAAUGGUAGGUGGGCGGGGUAAUCCCAAUGAGAGUGUGAGACAGGAGCGGGUUGGACCUGUGUAAGGAGGGUGGUGUGUGUGUGUGUGAUAGUUGUAUGUCAAAACUCAUUCAGUAGCUCUAAAAGCGCAUGGAUCCUCCUUGCCAGUCCUAACCCUAAUACACACAAAUGAAGCACAAGGAUUAAUUAUAUACAUGUACUAGGGGUUAUUAACGGUACAGUAUUUGUCAACAAAUACCCCCCAGACACCACCACCCUUGCCAUCACUCUAAUACCUUAAAUUGUAGGAGCUAGGUGUAUGAGUGUGACAUAAUGGCUAUAAUUAUACAACCUAAAAAUAGUAAGGGUUUUCCUCUGUGCCUCUGUGCUCAUUCAGCUAACCACACUUACCACUGAGCUCAGCUAAAAAACCCACAAAGCUGACAAUAUAAAAGGCUACACAAACAGAAAGCUAUUCACAAGCUCUCACCAAGUUGAGCAACAGUGCAACCAGCAACAGUGCAACCAGCAUGGAAGAUUCCUCUCACAACCCAACAAGCGAGCCGUCCAGCGUAUUCCUGCAGGAACAAGAGCCAAAUCAACCCUGUAUAAUAGGGGUUAAUUAAUGACCUGUCGCAGAGUCCUAAACACAGCCCAGGAGGAAUCUUGCCUGAAACAGAAAGACUAACGGCAGAGCGUGAUGAGACUUUGAGCACCCAAUCAGCGAGCCUUUUGCGAGUGCUCUCCCAGGACAAGAGUAUCUCCCAAAACGUAGAAUAUACACCCCCGGUAUAUUUUGACUAUUUCCUCAAAGAGGGGGAUAACUUGGUAGGACGUGGGGAGGAUUGUGAUGUGACACUCUCCGAUGGGUCCCUCUCCCGGAAACAUGCACAGAUACUUGUGGAGAAGGGUUCACACUUUAUAAAGGAUCUUGGAAGUCGGAAUAUGGUGGCCCUCAAGCCUAACAUCUCUGACGGACGGAGUGCAGGUGAUGUUGGCCAAUAUCACUUGUUUACUACCUCAUAGGAAACUGGCCGGAGGAGGCAGCCAAUGAUGAACGAGAAGGUAACUCUUCUAUGCUCCAGUAGGUUUUUGGUGAACUAUAUGGUUUGUCCUAGUUUCAGAGGAGAGUGAAACCAGUACAGUGUUGUAUGGCCCCAGUGAGGCUCUCUUUGAGGCUCAAGAGAGUGUGGAGGACUAUGAUUACAACUAUGAGGAGGAGAGCCCUCAACCUCAACCACCAAUUGCAACAACCCUUUCAGUUUGCCGCACCCCCACCUCCAACCGUAAGACCUCGGCCUCAGCCACUGAGACGUCUCAAGUGCCUGCUGCUAAGAAGCGGCGUAAAUAACCUUAUACCUGAG